CCCCGCCCCAAUCUCCUACGGGAGCCAGCAGUAGGGAAUUCUUCCCCAAUGGAAGAAAGUUUGAAGGAGCAACGCCGCGUGAGUGAUGAAGGUUUUCGGAUCGUAAAGCUCUGUUGUUAGGGAAGAACAAGUGCGAGAGUAACUGCUCGCACCUUGACGGUACCUAACCAGAAAGCCACGGCUAACUACGUGCCAGCAGCCGCGGUAAUACGUAGGUGGCAAGCGUUGUCCGGAAUUAUUGGGCGUAAAGGGCUCGCAGGCGGUUUCUUAAGUCUGAUGUGAAAGCCCCCGGCUCAACCGGGGAGGGUCAUUGGAAACUGGGAAACUUGAGUGCAGAAGAGGAGAGUGGAAUUCCACGUGUAGCGGUGAAAUGCGUAGAGAUGUGGAGGAACACCAGUGGCGAAGGCGACUCUCUGGUCUGUAACUGACGCUGAGGAGCGAAAGCGUGGGGAGCGAACAGGAUUAGAUACCCUGGUAGUCCACGCCGUAAACGAUGAGUGCUAAGUGUUAGGGGGUCUCCGCCCCUUAGUGCUGCAGCUAACGCAUUAAGCACUCCGCCUGGGGAGUACGGUCGCAAGACUGAAACUCAAAGGAAUUGACGGGGGCCCGCACAAGCGGUGGAGCAUGUGGUUUAAUUCGAAGCAACGCGAAGAACCUUACCAGGUCUUGACAUCCUCUGACAACCCUAGAGAUAGGGCUUUCCCUUCGGGGACAGAGUGACAGGUGGUGCAUGGUUGUCGUCAGCUCGUGUCGUGAGAUGUUGGGUUAAGUCCCGCAACGAGCGCAACCCUUGAUCUUAGUUGCCAGCAUUCAGUUGGGCACUCUAAGGUGACUGCCGGUGACAAACCGGAGGAAGGUGGGGAUGACGUCAAAUCAUCAUGCCCCUUAUGACCUGGGCUACACACGUGCUACAAUGGACAGAACAAAGGGCUGCAAGACCGCAAGGUUUAGCCAAUCCCAUAAAUCUGUUCUCAGUUCGGAUCGCAGUCUGCAACUCGACUGCGUGAAGCUGGAAUCGCUAGUAAUCGCGGAUCAGCAUGCCGCGGUGAAUACGUUCCCGGGCCUUGUACACACCGCCCGUCACACCACGAGAGUUUGCAACACCCGAAGUCGGUGAGGUAACCUUUAUGGAGCCAGCCG
rnacentral:rRNA from 1 species